CUCUAAUAGAAGAUGAAAGGGACAUAAAAGUGAUUUGUUCAUUCAUAUCCGGAGAUGAUGGAGGAUAUGCCACCAUAGCUUGCAUACCUUGUUCAGUGCUAACUAUCA
rnacentral:snoRNA from 10 species